rnacentral:ncRNA from 1 species
ACCCCUGUGAGAAUGCCCAUAACUCCUCCCCCAGGAGUAAGGAGCAGGUAUCAGGCACGCUUUCAAGCAGCCCACGACGCCUUGUUAAGCCACACCCCCAAGGGUACACAGCAGUGAUUAAUAUUAAGCAUAUAAGUGAAAACUUGACUUAGUUAAGGCUAAAAGGGCCGGUAAAACUCGUGCCAGCCACCGCGGUUAUACGAGAGGCCCAAGCUGACAGCCAUCGGCGUAAAAUGUGGUUAAAUUAACUUAAGAUAAUAAAGUCGAAUGCUCUCAUAACUGUUAUACGUACUCGAAAGCCAGAAGCUCCCCUACGAAAGUGACUUUAGAAUUAUUGAACCCACGAAAGCUAAGAUACAAACUGGGAUUAGAUACCCCACUAUGCUUAGCCCUAAACUUUAAUAACUUUACUACAAAAACUAUACGCCAGGGAACUACGAGCAUUAGCUUAAAACCCAAAGGACUUGGCGGUGCUUAAUAACCCCCUAGAGGAGCCUGUUCUAGAACCGAUAACCCUCGUUCAACCUCACCCUUUCUUGUUCAUCCCGCCUAUAUACCGCCGUCGUCAGCUUACCCUGUGAAGGAUCUAAAGUAAGCAUAAUUAGUUUAACCCAAAACGUCAGGUCGAGGUGUAGCAUAUGAAAGGGGAAGAAAUGGGCUACAUUUCCUGUAAACAGGAUAUUACGGAUUGUGUGAUGAAAGACACACUAUGAAGGAGGAUUUAGUAGUAAGAGGGAAGCAGAGUGUCCCACUGAAACCGGCCCUUAAGCGCGCACACACCGCCCGUCAUUCUCCCCAAACCAUUAAAACCCUUUAACUAAACAAAAAUUAGGAUUAAGGGGAGGCAAGUCGUAACAUGGUAAGUGUACCGGAAGGUGUACUUGGAUAAAU